rnacentral:rRNA from 1 species
GGAUUAGUGGCCGAUGGCUAUCCUGUCCUAAGACACUCGGGGGAAAGCUGCUACCGGUAGCCGCCAUUAGGCGUGAUCCGGUGGAUAGUCUCCUCCUCUUGCGGGGCGUAUGGCACAUGCGAGAUCCGGCCUCACCCGGCUGGGACUUGCGAUGUGGCGGACCGUCCUGUGGGGAACUCAGUGGGGGCAAUUGGAUAGUAGGUGUGAGUGUGGUGAGGCCCGCGUGGCUUCGCGCUCCGCAUCUGCUGUGUCAGGCCGCUUGCGGUCUGGCGCCGUCCAGUAUCAUACUCGGCCUCGUUCGCGAGGUGACGAGGGAGCAUUGCUCUCUCGACACGAUAGAUACCUGGUUGAUUCUGCCAGUAGUCAUAUGCUUGUCUC